UACGGGAGGAUCCAAGCGUUUAUCCGGAUUUAUUGGGUUUAAAGGGUGCGUAGGCGGCUUAUUAAGUCAGGGGUGAAAGACGGUGGCUCAACCAUCGCAGUGCCUUUGAUACUGAUGAGCUUGAAUACACUUGAGGUAGGCGGAAUGUGACAAGUAGCGGUGAAAUGCAUAGAUAUGUCACAGAACACCAAUUGCGAAGGCAGCUUACUAAGGUGCAAUUGACGCUGAGGCACGAAAGCGUGGGGAUCAAACAGG
rnacentral:rRNA from 1 species